GACGAACGCUGGCGGCGUGCCUAACACAUGCAAGUCGAGCGAGGUCCACUCAGUAGCAAUACUGAUGAAGACCUAGCGGCGAACGGGUGAGUAACACGUGAGAAACCUGCCCCAAAGACUGGGAUAACCCGGGGAAACCCGAGCUAAUACCGGAUACCUUCUUUGACCGCAUGGUCAGUUGAAGAAAUGUUUUUCGCUUUGGGAGGGUCUCGCGGCCUAUCAGUUAGUUGGUGGGGUAACGGCCUACCAAGACAUCGACGGGUAGCUGGUCUGAGAGGACGAUCAGCCACACUGGGACUGAGACACGGCCCAGACUCCUACGGGAGGCUG
rnacentral:rRNA from 1 species